ACCCGCUGAACUUAAGCAUAUCAAUAAGCGGAGGAAAAGAAACCAACAGGGAUUGCCCUAGUAACGGCGAGUGAAGCGGCAACAGCUCAAAUUUGAAAUCUGGCUUCGGCCCGAGUUGUAAUUUGUAGAGGAUGCUUUUGGUGCGGUGCCUUCUGAGUUCCCUGGAACGGGACGCCAUAGAGGGUGAGAGCCCCGUAUAGUUGGACACCUAGCCUUUGUAAAGCUCCUUCGACGAGUCGAGUAGUUUGGGAAUGCUGCUCAAAAUGGGAGGUAAAUGCCUUCUAAAGCUAAAUACUGGCCAGAGACCGAUAGCGCACAAGUAGAGUGAUCGAAAGAUGAAAAGCACUUUGAAAAGAGGGUUAAACAGCACGUGAAAUUGUUGAAAGGGAAGCGCUUGUGACCAGACUUGCGCCAGGUGGAUCAUCCAGCGUUCUCGCUGGUGCACUCUGCCUGGUUCAGGCCAGCAUCGGUUUUCUCAGUGGGAUAAAGGCUCUGGGAAUGUAGCUCCUCCGGGAGUGUUAUAGCCCGUUGCACAAUACCUCUGAGGGGACCGAGGUUCGCGCUCUGCAAGGAUGCUGGCGUAAUGGUCAUCAGCGGCCCGUCUUGAAACACGGACCAAGGAGUCAAGCAUUAGGGCGAGUGUUUGGGUGCAAAACCCGCACGCGUAAUGAAAGUGAACGUAGGUGAGAGCUUCGGCGCAUCAUCGACCGAUCCUGAUGUAUUCGGAUGGAUUUGAGUAAGAGCCUUACCGCUUGGACCCGAAAGAUGGUGAACUAUGCUUGUAUAGGGUGAAGCCAGAGGAAACUCUGGUGGAGGCUCGCAGCGGUUCUGACGUGCAAAUCGAUCGUCAAAUAUGAGCAUGGGGGCGAAAGAC
rnacentral:rRNA from 1 species